rnacentral:lncRNA from 1 species
AUUAAUAAGUGUGCUUGUACAUGUGUGUGCAGUGUGGAGGAGUGUCUCGACACAGGGAUCACAGUCAUUAUGGAAGCGAGAGGUACAGGGAAAGCUCGGGAAGAGACGGAAUGAGAGACAGACAUCGAGAAAGACGACACAGGGACAGGAAUGAACAACACAGAUCCUCACACAGUGGCAGCAGUAGGAGGCAUCAUGAUAGUGAUGACGCAGAUAGCCACAGGAAACACAGGCACAAACGCUCUAGACACAACCGAGGAAGCCUUGAGCCCAGCGAGGAGUGCAAUGUGGACCAGGAGAACCAGUCAGAGGCCACAGAAUAACUCCCUGGCCAGCUGGUGAGCCCGUUUGUUUACCAGUAGGAGGUCUUUAGUGAAAGAUCAUUAGUCUCGUCACCAGUCAGAGCAUGAGUAAACAACUGUGAAUAGAUUUUGAUUAAUCGUAUGCCAAAC